rnacentral:rRNA from 1 species
UACGUAGGGUGCGAGCGUUAAUCGGAAUUAUUGGGCGUAAAGCGCACGUAGGCGGCUUUGCAAGUCGGAUGUGAAAUCCCUCGGCUUAACCAAGGAAGUGCAUCCGAAACUGCAGAGCUUGAGUACUUAAGAGGAUCGCGGAAUUCCCGGUGUAGAGGUGAAAUUCGUAGAUAUCGGGAGGAACACCAGUGGCGAAGGCGGCGAUCUGGGAAGAUACUGACGCUGAGGUGCGAAAGCGUGGGGAGCAAACAGG